CACCGCGGUUAUACGAGAGGCCCAAGUUGAUACCACUCGGCGUAGAGCGUGGUUAAGAGACCCGACAUUAAACUAAAGUCGAACGCUCCCAAAGCUGUUAUACGCACCCGGCAGCAUGAAGCACAACUACAAAAGUAACUUUAACCUCUCCGAACCCACGAAAACUAAGACA
rnacentral:rRNA from 1 species